CACUACAGCAUGCAGCAACACAAGCCCACAUCUCCACAUGUUUUGAUCUGCCAUAGAACCCUCAACUCCAUAUUUUAUAUAAAAUAUUUUUACAAAAUUGAAAAAAUACAAAUUUGAAAGUGUUGGCUUAAAAAAAAACCACUCUGAAGGUCCAAGCGAAUGUGUUUGCCAGGAGGGUUAGUCUCAGGGCACCGCUAGCCUAAUCCAGCCCCCUUGCUUAACAGACAGCCACACUGCGUCAAGAAAGGUGGCGUGACUCAUCAGAGGUCACAGAGCCCAUAAAAAGCAGAGAUCCAGUCUCUCAGUUCCCAGACCCUGGAUUUUUUCCCUAAACCCUGCAGCCUGCCACCUCUCACAAUGGGGCCACUCACACUGCAGCCUUCCUCCCAGACCAUCCUGAGGGGCCCACAUCCAACAGAAAUCCAGACUCCAUGGCAUCUGAACCCAGAACCCAGUGGAAUGUGGACAGGGCUCCAGCCCUGUGAUCUGCAGCUGCAGGGCCUGCCUCUCAGCCAAUCCCUGAGGACAAUGCAUUUUGCUGGAAGAUUUCAAAGCAUACCUUGGGUAACUGGAACAGAAGCCUGCUGGCACCUUUCCCCACUGCGGAACAGCAGAGAGGGAAACUGAAGCUCAGAGGUAGCACCUGGGAGAAGGAGCUAAAAGUCCAAGCUCCUAAUGGAGCAGAAGAAUCCUUCCCAUCCAUUUGGAUGGCAAGCAUGGAUACUGGGAGAAAUCUCUCCAUCCCUACAUACUCCAACUCUGGCCUGCCUAAUGGUCUGCAAGAUCCCUGCUGGAAGCAGACAAUAACAAUGAUAAUAUCCCUGUUUUUUUUUUAAUCAAACACCUGUUAUGGAGUAGGCACAGUUAAACACUUUAAAUGCAUUACCUCAUUUAAUCCUCACAACACUCCAAACGAUGUAGAUAUUUUCAUUAUCCCCAUUUUACAGAUGAGAAAACCAAGAUACAGGCAGAUCCUGUAACUAGCCUAAGGUCUACAGCUGGUAAAGCCAGAAUUCAAACCCAAGUGGCUGGCUCCAUAGCUGGGACUCUUAACCAGAAUGGUGGACUUCCCCCUCCCGUGUGACAGGGGACCGUCCCUGCCCCAAGAGAGUGGGUCGGAAAGCCAGGACUUCCAGUCCCUGGGAUCCUUCCCCUCAUUAGAGGCUCCUGGGGUCCUGGGGGCUCUAGGUCAUGAUCUUGGGGUUCUCCUUGCCCUCCAGGGAGAAUUUAAAGUUACACACAGUUU
rnacentral:lncRNA from 1 species